GACGAACGCUGGCGGCGUGCCUAAUACAUGCAAGUAGAACGCAGUUGCGAACGGGUGAGUAACGCUUAGGUAACUGCCUCAUCGCAGGGGAUAAAUAUUGGAAACGAUAGCUAAUACCUGAUACUGUGAGAUGGACCUGCGUUGUAUUAGCUAGUUGGUGAGGUAAAGGGCCACCAAGGCGACGAUACAUAGCCGACCUGAGAGGGUGAUCGGGCACACUGGGACUGGGACACUGGCCAGGCCCCUUCGGGAAGCAACAGGAGGGAAACUUUGGCAAUGGGCGGAAGGCUGACCCAGCAACGGCGCGGGAGGGAAGAAGGUUUUCGGAUCGGAAAGCUCUGUUUUUAGAGAAGCGGUAACUAACCAGAAAGGGACGGCUAACUACGUGCCAGCAGCCGCGGUAAUUC
rnacentral:rRNA from 1 species